rnacentral:rRNA from 1 species
AAUGAACGCUGGCGGCAUGCCUUACACAUGCAAGUCGAACGGCAGCAUGACCUAGCUUGCUAGGUUGAUGGCGAGUGGCGAACGGGUGAGUAAUGCAUCGGAACGUGCCUUUUAGUGGGGGAUAACGUAGCGAAAGUUACGCUAAUACCGCAUAUUCUCUGAGGAGGAAAGCAGGGGACCUUCGGGCCUUGCGCUAGAAGAGCGGCCGAUGUCGGAUUAGCUAGUUGGUGAGGUAAAGGCUCACCAAGGCAACGAUCCGUAGCGGGUCUGAGAGGAUGAUCCGCCACACUGGGACUGAGACACGGCCCAGACUCCUACGGGAGGCAGCAGUGGGGAAUUUUGGACAAUGGGCGCAAGCCUGAUCCAGCCAUGCCGCGUGAGUGAAGAAGGCCUUCGGGUUGUAAAGCUCUUUCGGCUGGGAAGAAAUCGCACCCUCUAAUACAGGGUGUGGAUGACGGUAUCAGCAGAAGAAGCACCGGCUAACUACGUG